rnacentral:rRNA from 2 species
AUUGAACGCUGGCGGCAGGCCUAACACAUGCAAGUCGAGCGGAUGAAGGGAGCUUGCUCCUGGAUUCAGCGGCGGACGGGUGAGUAAUGCCUAGGAAUCUGCCUGGUAGUGGGGGAUAACGUCCGGAAACGGGCGCUAAUACCGCAUACGUCCUGAGGGAGAAAGUGGGGGAUCUUCGGACCUCACGCUAUCAGAUGAGCCUAGGUCGGAUUAGCUAGUUGGUGGGGUAAAGGCCUACCAAGGCGACGAUCCGUAACUGGUCUGAGAGGAUGAUCAGUCACACUGGAACUGAGACACGGUCCAGACUCCUACGGGAGGCAGCAGUGGGGAAUAUUGGACAAUGGGCGAAAGCCUGAUCCAGCCAUGCCGCGUGUGUGAAGAAGGUCUUCGGAUUGUAAAGCACUUUAAGUUGGGAGGAAGGGCAGUAAGUUAAUACCUUGCUGUUUUGACGUUACCAACAGAAUAAGCACC